UAAUUGUCGAAACUUAUACUCCCCAAAAGGU
rnacentral:piRNA from 1 species